rnacentral:rRNA from 1 species
ACGCACGCUGGCGGCGUGCUUCACACAUGCCAGUCGAACGGUGAAGCGCCUUCCUUUUUGGUGGGUGUGGAUGAGUGGCGAACGGGUGAGUAACACGUGAGUAACCUGCCCCCUUCUUCUGGAUAACCGCAUGAAAGUGUGGCUAAUACGGGAUAUUCUGGGUCUGUCGCAUGAUGGGUCUGGGAAAGAUAUUGUUUCGGUGGGGGAUGGGCUCGCGGCCUAUCAGCUUGUUGGUGGGGUGAUGGCCUACCAAGGCGGUGACGGGUAGCCGGCCUGAGAGGGUGGACGGUCACACUGGGACUGAGACACGGCCCAGACUCCUACGGGAGGCAGCAGUGGGGAAUAUUGCACAAUGGGCGCAAGCCUGAUGCAGCGACGCCGCGGGAGGGAUGGAGGCCUUCGGGUUGUGAACCUCUUUCGCCAGUGAAGCAGGCCUGCCUCGUUUGUGGGUGGGUUGACGGUAGCUGGAUAAGAAGCGCCGGCUAACUACGUG